UACGUAGGGUGCAAGCGUUGUCCGGAAUUAUUGGGCGUAAAGAGCUCGUAGGCGGUCUGUCGCGUCUGCUGUGAAAACUCAGGGCUUAACCCUGAGCUUGCAGUGGGUACGGGCAGACUAGAGUGCGGUAGGGGAGACUGGAAUUCCUGGUGUAGCGGUGAAAUGCGCAGAUAUCAGGAGGAACACCGGUGGCGAAGGCGGGUCUCUGGGCC
rnacentral:rRNA from 1 species